AUUGAACGCUGGCGGCAGGCUUAACACAUGCAAGUCGAGCGGGGGAAGGUAGCUUGCUACCGGACCUAGCGGCGGACGGGUGAGUAAUGCUUAGGAAUCUGCCUAUUAGUGGGGGACAACAUCUCGAAAGGGAUGCUAAUACCGCAUACGUCCUACGGGAGAAAGCAGGGGAUCUGCGGACCUUGCGCUAAUAGAUGAGCCUAAGUCGGAUUAGCUAGUUGGUGGGGUAAAGGCCUACCAAGGCGACGAUCUGUAGCGGGUCUGAGAGGAUGAUCCGCCACACUGGGACGGAGACACGGCCCAGACUCCUACGGGAGGCAGCAGUGGGGAAUAUUGGACAAUGGGGGGAACCCUGAUCCAGCCAUGCCGCGUGUGUGAAGAAGGCCUUAUGGUUGUAAAGCACUUUAAGCGAGGAGGAGGCUACUUUAGUUAAUACCUAGAGAUAGUGGACGUUACUCGCAGAAUAAGCACCGGCUAACUCUGUGCCAGCCGCCGCAGUAA
rnacentral:rRNA from 1 species